GGAAAAGAGGCCUGGAAAAGCACCACUCCUGUCCAUGAAGCCCCCAGAUGGAACCAGGGUCCUGUUCAGAAACCCCAUCUGUGCCUUUGGAGAGACUGCCCCGAGCACACAGGCCCAGCAACCGCCAUCUAUGGCCCCCAGGACCUAAUCCCUUCUACAUAGGGUUCAGUGCAUGUGAGUAUACACCGGGCUUGAUUCCUGCCUAGUCCCUGCCAGAUACCCCAUGCCCACCUGGUGAAGAGAAUGAGGCCACACAAACACACCCAGGCCAUCGUGGUGAUGGAGUGCCUGGGGUCCUACUUGCCCACCCUUCCUUGCUGGUUCAGAGCCAGCUGUCUGACCACAUUCCUACCCUGAGAUGAGACUUUGGGGACAUUGUCCACCAGGGUCACUGACCCCUUUUAAAAUUCCAGAAACAGAGGGCCAGCUGGUCCCCUAGAAGUUUGGCACAUGGGAUAAGCCAAGGCUUGCCUUCAGGAACAGGUUUUCCACCACGUCGCUGCCCAAGGCCCAGGGCAUCCCCAAGUUCAUGUGGCACCUGCCUGCCAUGUCCACAACCCAUGCCGACCCCUCCUAGAGCCACUGGAAUGCUUGUUCCUGGGCAUGUGAUAAACCCAGACAGCUUCAGCCUUGCAGGACAACUAUGCACAUCUGGCAGCAGUAGCCGGAGGGCCCAUGGAAAGAAGUUGGAGGUGAAACCAGAUGCUGUGAAAAUAUUAGGCAAAACUGCAUACUAUAAAAGUGCUUUAAAAUGCAGCAGGAGGAGAGGUGAAGACACAAAUGAAUAAGUGCUUAGAGACACAUGGCUGUCAGAACAGUUAAGAAUCCACGCUGCUUCCCCCCUUUACCUAGAAAAGGAAAAUUCUAGGCCACCUCCUCCUCAGCAUACUCCUCAAACUCCUCCUCCUCAGCCGUGGCAUCCUGAUAUUGCUGAUAUUCAGACACCAGGUCGUUCAUGUUGCUCUCGGCCUCGGUGAAUUCCAUCUCUUCCAUGCCCUCGCCCGUGUACCAAUGGAGGAAGGCCUUGCGCCUGAACAUUGCUGUAAACUGCUCUGAGACACGCUUGAAGAGUUCCUGGAUGGCCGUAUUAUUCCCAAUGAAGGGAACAGCAAGAGGACCUUGUGCAUGAAUAAUUUGUUUCCAUACUACAGAGUGGGUAAUAAGCAGAUUAGUAAAAACAAUUCUGCUUCACUUCAAUAACAGCCUCCUCCAACUCAUUUUUUCUCAACAAACUUAUUUUUCCAGCAGAAGAAUCCCAGACUUCUUAGAGAACCCAGUGACUUUUUGCACCUUAAAUCUGUGAAAUCCUCAUGUUUUCUUCUGCCGUAUCCAUAGUUCAAACAAAGAUGAGGCAAAGCUAGACGCAUUCCUGAAGGAACCCAAGAAAUUCCUCUCUUUCUCUCUCUGGAAUGAAAUGAAUUCUCUAGACCACCAGUUCUAACCUUCAAAAACCAAACCUGUUUGUGAGCUGUCCUUCAAAUACUACUGUAGACCCCAGUGUUUAUUCAUUAAAUUUUUUAAAUAUUUGUUUUAUUUGGAAUCAAAGUAUUUGUAAUUUUAGUAUUUGUAUUAAUAUCAGGGAGAAAUGUUUAAAUCUGUCUAUGCCAUAUGUGCCUCUGGCUUAUUGCCCAAUUAAUUGUAGCCUCAGGCUAAACUUUGGUUUCUGUCUUUAAUUUUUGUCAGAAGAAAUAUAACUGAUCUCAAAACAU
rnacentral:lncRNA from 1 species